rnacentral:rRNA from 1 species
GUAAGGAAUAUUGGACAAUGGACGCAAGUCUGAUCCAGCCAUGCCGCGUGAAGGAUUAAGGUCCUCUGGAUUGUAAACUUCUUUUAUAAGGGACGAAAAAAGGCUUUUCUAAGUCGUCUGACGGUACCUUAUGAAUAAGCACCGGCUAACUCCGUGCCAGCAGCCGCGGUAAUACGGAGGGUGCAAGCGUUAUCCGGAUUCACUGGGUUUAAAGGGUGCGUAGGCGGGCAGGUAAGUCAGUGGUGAAAUCCUAGAGCUUAACUCUAGAACUGCCAUUGAUACUAUCUGGCUUGAAUAUUGUGGAGGUAAGCGGAAUAUGUCAUGUAGCGGUGAAAUGCUUAGAUAUGACAUAGAACACCUAUUGCGAAGGCAGCUUACUACGCAUAUAUUGACGCUGAGGCACGAAAGCGUGGGGAUCAAACAGGAUUAGAAACCCCAGUAGUCC